rnacentral:rRNA from 1 species
AUGAAGAAUCUGGGUUUAACGGAAGAUGACCUAAAUGACGUGGUCUUCGAGGAUCAACAGGUCCCAGCAGAUGCGACUGUCAGGUGGAUGGCCGUUGCAAGGGUUCAUACUCCAAAAGAAUACAACCAGUAUUGGUUCUUCCGCAACAUGAGGGCUGCAUGGGAUCUGGCCCAGGAAGUGAAAAUCUGCCCGCUUGAGAGCAAUCUAUACACGAUGCGGUUUUCGUGUUUGGGCGAUUGGGAGCGUGUCAUGGCGGAGGGUCCAUGGACUUUCAAGGGCAAUGCGGUUGUUCUGGACGAGUAUGAUGGAUUCACAAAGCCAUCAAAAGUUAACUUGGAUAUGCUGGAUAUGUGGGUCUAG